GUCAUCUGGUGAGAAGCGAGCUGCACCACGAGGAAAUAUUUCAGCAAAUCAUGAUGCGAGGUCCAUGGGAACCUGAAUUAUUAUUCUUGUUAAACAAUCAAGACCACAAAUUCCACACGUUUCAGUUCUGCAGGUUUCAUCUUCGUUUGGUCCUAGACAUCCACAAUACAAGUGUUCACCACAGGAAAACUAAAAUAGGCUCUUCGCUCUAUACAGUGAUACAACAGAAUGAAGCUUUAAAAGGGCAGGCAAUCCUCAUGGUAAAAUCAUUCAUGAUUGACCCGAACUCUAGAUUAUGUGAAGGCCACAUGAGGUCAUAUUGAUCAAAUAAAGCACAAGGAAUUGUCACAGGAAAAGAAAUAACGUUCUGCAGCUUUGACAGAAUGACAGGUGCAGAUACUCUUAACUCCAGUCUUAUAAGCCGCACAAGCAUUUUUUUGUCUGCUUAAAAUAUCCAGAACCUAAACUCAGAAGAAAUUGAAGACACGACAUACUACGAAUAACCGAAAAAAAUCAGGCAGGGCUCCAAGUCUGCAAACAUGCCUAAUGCUAAUACUCAUAUUAGCCAACCAUGAAUCUGCAUCCUUGUACGUUGUACCCAACAAAAGAAAUAUACCCAACUGUUACAUCUUGACAGGCAAGUUACAACAGCAGAAACAAAAGUAAUUCCAGUGAACAAAGGCGGUGUACCUGGGUGAGCAGACUGCGUCGGCA
rnacentral:misc_RNA from 1 species